CGGCACGAAGACGCAGGCCGAGCACGGUCCCCCCCCUCCUACACACACGCGCACGCGCACGCGUAUGCUGCCGGUGUUUCCGUUUCUGUUUUCGUGCUAUCGCUUGAUUUGACGUUCGCAUGUUUCCUUCGAUUUCUCUCGUUUUCGUCUCUCUCCCUAUGCAGAGUCGCAUGGACGUGUGCGUGUGCGUGCCCUCUGCCAUUUUCCCGUUGUGUCUCCGUGCCGCUGCCCUGCUCCUCGUCUUCCCCGCCCCCUCCAUGCGCGUGUGCGUGUGCGGGCGAGGCGGCUGAUCGAGGGGACGACGAGGUGGAGAGCAGCCACGGCACCGCAGCGCUGGGGAUACAUGGGCAGUGUGCAGGAGCAGCGGAGGAGAGGCACGCACACGCACUCUGGCAAGGGAGUAGUGGUGCGGAGGCCGCAGGGGAAUACGCAGCGGAGCGAGUGGGUACGGAGGCGGAGCGGAGGAGAGGCAGCGCUGCUUCUCUGUUCGCCCCGCUUGCGUUGGACUCGAGUGUGUCUGCGUGUGCGCCCCCUGCGGCCCUCGGCCCCCUCGCCUCUCUUGCGCGCUUCGCGUCGCUUGUUUCGUUGCUGUGGCUGUCUAACUACGCCAUCGAGUCGGCCAGAGUCGCGUGCGCGGAGUAUUCACACCAUAUUACGGCAUGCGGCAUGCACCUACACCAGCCCCUGCGGCCUGCACGGCAGACGCCGCCGCCUCCGCCCUCGAGCAGGACCCUGCACCGGGGUCCGUGUGGCGCCGGUCGCGCUGCACGCGUGCGAGGGCGAUACGCGGAGGGACAAGGCGAGCCCCGCUAGCAGCAUGGCCCGACUCGACGGCUGAACGGCUCGUCGUGGACGGCGCGGAUGUGGCCGCCGUGCGACAGGGGUGGGUGGGCUGCGGCUGUAUGCGUGCACGUGUGGACUCGGUCGUGAUGGAGUGAGACGUUGAUAAGGAAGUGCUCUGCUUUCCCUGGCAAGCACGCGAAGGAGGAGGUAACCACGGCAACCACAAAACGACACGUAUAUACAUACAUACAUACAUAUAUAUCAUCAUCCAUGUCGGCGUGCGCCAACAGACCAUCAAAACUCCCCGGACUUUGUUUUCCCCGCCGACCGCCGCCCCCGUGUGCUCGCCCGAGCGGACGGAGCGCGUGCGCCCUUUUCUCCUCGUGCUUCUCCAUUGCUUGCUUUUUGCUUGCUGUCUCUUUUGUUGUUGUCUCCGUUCCUCGACUG
rnacentral:misc_RNA from 1 species